UUGUAUCACUGUGCCACAUGUUUGGAGGAGGAACCAGACUUGAAGUUAACAUGGGUCAAGUGCCUCCAUCACUAAUGGUUGUACCCCCCUCCAGUGAGGAGCUGAAGCAAGGGAAGGUUAUCCUCAUGUGUCUGGCCAACAAGGGCUUCCCCUCAGACUGGACUCUGUCCUGGAAGCUGGACAGCAGCAGCAGCAGCAGCUUGGAGCAGAGCAGGAGCCCCGGGGUGCUGCAGAAUGACGGCCUCUACAGCUGGAGCAGCACCCUGAGGCUCCCUGCAGACCAGUGGAGGAAGGUGGGCUCUGUGACCUGUGAGGCCUCCCAGGGCUCCCAGACUGCAGUCACAGAGACACUGAGGAGAGACCAGUGUUCCCAGUACUGAGCUGAUAUGCCAGAAGAUGGGAACUAUUGCUUUUUCAAUGCUUUCUGUUCUUUCUAUCUUCAAAAGCUUCUUUUCAUUCGAAGCCUUCUUGCUUAUUGUUGCAAUCCCGGUUGAUUUAAUAUCUUAAAGCAAUAAAACUGAUCAACGCA